AUCACCAUGGUCAGCUAAUUUUUGUAAUUUUUGUACAUAUGGGGUUUCGCCAUAUUGCCCAGGGUGGUCUUGAACUCCUGAGCUCAGGUGAUCUGCCUGCCUCAGCCUCCCAGAGUGCUCAGAUUACAGGCAUGAGCCACUACGCCCAGCCCACUUGUCGAGUGCCUAUUAUGUCCUAGGCACUGUGCUAAGUUGUUGCAUGCAUUAGUUCAUUUUAUUUAUUUAUUUAAUUAUUUUAUUUAACUUUUUAAAAUUUUAUUUAUUUAAUUUAACUAAGUGCUCUUCAUGCAUUAGUUCAUUUUAUUUAUUUAUUUAUUUAUUUAUUUAUUUAUUUAUUUAUUUAAUUUUUUUGAGACAGAGUUUCACUCCUGUUUCCCAGGCUGGAGUGCAAUGGCGCCAUCUUGGCUCACUUCAAACUCCCAGGUUCAAGUGAUUCUCCUGCCUCAGCCUCCCAAGUAGCUGGGAUUACAGGCACCCACCACUACACCUGGCUAAUUUUUGUAUUUUUAGUAGAGAUUUAGUAGAGUAAAGUGCUGGGAUUACAGGCGUGAGCCACCGUGCCCGGCCCAUCUUAUUAUUAUUAUUAUCAUUAGUUUUUGAGAUGGAGUCUAGCUCUGUCACUCAGGCUGGAGUGCAGUGGCACAAUCUCAGCUCACUGCAACCUCCACCUCCUGGGUUCAAGCGAUUCUCUUGCCCCAGACUCCCGAGUAGCUGGGACUACAGGUGCAAGCCACCACACCCGGCUAAUUUUUGUAUUUUUAGUAGAGACGGGCUUUCACCAUGUUGGCCAGGCUGAUCUCGAACUCCUGACCUCAGGUAAUCCACCCGCCUCGGCCUCCAAAAGUACUGGGAUUACAGAUGUGAGUCACCGCACCUGGCCCAUUAGUUCAUUUUAGCCACGAUAAUAUCCCAGGAGUUAGGUACUAUUAUGGCCUCCUUUUAAUAGCUGUAGAAAUGGAGGCUCAAGGACGUGUGAGGUGGCUCACACCUGUAAUCCCAGCACUUUGGGAGGCCAAAAUAGGCCUAUUACUUGAGGUCAGAAGUUUGAGACCAGCCUGGCCAACAUGGCAAAACCCCAUCUCUACAAAAAUACAAACAUUAGCUGGCAUGGUGGUGCAUGCCUGUAAUCCCAGCUCGUCGGGGGGCCAAGGCAGGAGAAUCGCUUGAAGCCAGGAGGCAGAGGUUGUAGCAAGCCAAGAUUGCGCCACUGCACUCCAGCCUGCACAACAGACGGAGACUCCAACAAAGAAAGAAAGAGAGAGAGAGAGAGAGAGAGAGAGAGAGAGAGAGAGAGAGAGAGAGGGAGAGAAGGGGAGGGGAGGGGAGGAGAGGGGAAAGGGAAAGAAAGAAUGAAAGAAAUGGAAGCUCAGAGAGGUGCAGCAAUUUGCCCAAGGCCACACAGGUACCCAGGAUUCACCAUCCAGUUCAGUGUAACAACAGAGCUUGCACAGAUAACCAGGAUGCUGCAGUGGGGCUCUAGGUGGAAAAUCAAAGCUUCAAGGAGAUCAGGGACAUGUGUGUAAGAAUCUUCUCACGAACCAGUGCCGCAGGGAGGGUCCAGUCAUGGAACCAGGUGCCACCUCACCUGGCUGAGUUCAAGAUUGGCUCUAACCCAAAUCACCUGCAAGACCUUGAGCAACAUACUUAACCCUUCUCUGCUUCAAUUUUAUUUUUGUUACGUUGAUCGAAAGUCAGAAAGGAAAGGAAGUCCUCAUUGGUACAGAGGUUAGGAAAAUUGGAAGAGCUUUUGGAGAGGGUAUCAGGUUUAUCCUACAUUCUUUAUCAGCAUGAAAAAGUCCUCCUUUGGGCUUUUUGUUUGUUUUGAUUUUUGUUUUUUGUUUUUGGGGUUUUUUUGAGACAGAGUCUUGCUCUGUCGUUCAGGCUGGAGUGCAGUGGUGUGAUCUCGGCUCACUGCAGCCUCUGCCUCCCAGGUUUCAGCAAUUCUCCGCCUCAGCCUCCUGAGUAGUUCAGACUACAGGCGCCCACCACCAUGCCCAGCUAAUUUUUGUAUUUUUAGUAGAGACAGGGUUUUGCCAUGUUGGCCGUGCUGGUGUUGAACUCCUGACCUCAGGUGAUCCACCCACCUCGGCCUCCCAAAGUGCUGGGAUUACAGGGUUGAGCUAGCCAAAAAAGUCUUCAUUUGGUUAAGUACAGUGGCUCACACCUGUAAUCUCAAAACUUUGGGAGGCCAAGGUGGGAGGAUCACUUGAGUCCAGGAGUUCAAUACCACCUUGGGUAACAUAACAAGAAUUUGUCUCUACAAAACAUUAAAAAAAAAAAAAAAAUUAGCCAGGUGUUGUAAUGGUAUGCACCUGUAGUCCCAGCCACUCAGGGAGGUUGAGGUGGGAGAAUCGCUUGAGCCCAGGAAUUCAAGGCUACAGUGAGCUAUGAUUGUACCACUGCACUCUAGCCUGGGCGACAGAGCAAGACCCUGUCUAAAAAAAAAAAAAAAAAGGCCGGGCACAGUGGCUCACGCCUGUAAUCCUAGCACUUUGAGAGGCUGAGGCGGGUGGAUCACUUGAGGUCAGGAGUUUGAGACCAGCCUGGCCAACAUAGUGAAACCCCAUCUCUACUAAAAAUACAAAAAAUUAGCUGGGCGUGGUGGUGGGUGCCUGUAGUCCCAGCUACUCAGGAGGCUGAGGCAGGAGAAUCACUUGUACCCGGAAGGUGGAGGUUGUAGUGAGCCAAGAUCGCGCCAUUGCACUCCAGCCUAGGCAAGAAGAGCGAAACUGCAUCUAAAAAAACCAAACCAAAACAAAACAAAAAACUCUUCACGCUAGGAUCUGUGAGUUCAUUAGAACAACUACACAUCAUAGAUUUGUCUAGUCCAGCCCAAGUAUCAAAUACUCUGUCUACUUGCUGGACAGAUGAAACUAAAGGACCUUGAACCGGGCAUCAGACUGUUUUUGCAUCUGGCCAAGUCUCUUUCCAGCUGUUUGACCUUGGGCAGUUCCCUUUAACUCCCUAAGGCUUGCUUUCUUCAUCUUAAAAUCAGGAUGACAGUAGUAUCUACCUCUUGAGAUCGCGUGAGAAAUAAAUGCAAUGAUGCAUGAAUAAUGUUUCAUACUGUAUCUAGUAUAGGGUGAGUACUUCUUCAAAAAUAACAGCCACACCUUUUCCUAGGAUUGCAUGCAAUGCAAUAAUAUUGCAAAUAAAGGCGGUUGUUGUUUUCUUCCUUAAUAAAUCAGGAGAGAAUUAGGAUUCUUUUGGGAUUCAGACUAAUCUCUUUGAACCAGCAGUUUGAAUUUGGUUGCCAUAGUGUCCUGGGCCAUGAAUGGCUGAUAGAGAGACAUGUCAUAUUUUCAACAGUUGCCUUGACUUGUCUGAUGAGAUGCCAUUUCUAUUAAGUAGCUGUCUCCAAUUUGUAAAAUUCCAUCUGUGGCUUUCCCCAACCCUUAUUUUCCAACAGCCUCUCACUCCAGGUCCUAAGAAAAGGCAUAUCUACCUGGAAGAAAAGAACUAAAUCUUGGUAAAAGACAUUUACCUUUUCUGAACUCAACCUUUAGUUUUUGUUCAACUGAAUUCCCCUGACAAAAUGCAUUUCAGCAAGAUUUACUUCCAGAAUUUCUUUAUCUCUAAUGCUUUUAGUAAAGAAGGCAUUGAAUGAAUUUAUUGCUCAUCCCUCUGAAAGUGACCUGAGAAUGUCAACGUACCUGGAGGAUUUAUUUUACUUCCUCUAAAGGACUGACAGUAAUAUCCAGCACCUUCCCCCAACUAAGAACAUUCCACUUUGAGGCCAGGUGCAGUGGCUCAUGCCUGUAAGCCCAGCAAUUUGGGAUGCCAAGGCGGGAGGAUCGCUUGAGCUCAGGAGUUUGAGACCAGUCUGGGCAACAUAGCGAGACCCCAUCUCAAUUAAAGAAAAAAAGUCCACUUUGAAACCUCUGGGCAGAGUGCAGUGGUUCACACCUACAAUCCCAACAAUUUGGUAGGCUGAGGCAGGAGGAUCGCUUGAGGUCAGGAGCUUGAGACCAGCCUGGACAACAUAGUGAGACCUUGUCUCUACAAAAAAAAAAAAAAAAAAAAAUUUAAUGAAACUUCUCACGUGACAAUUUUAAUCAUGAGAAUGAUGCACAUGCCACAGUCUGGAACUUGGGAUCUCAAAUGGUCAUGGAUUCCGUGUUCUCAGUCCCCACACAGAAGGGAGGAGGGCUGGCCUUUGGACUCCCCCAAAUCUGGGUUUAAAUCCCAGCUCCACCACUUUAAGUCUGGUUGCUCUGGGCCAGUUAUUUAAUGUUCUCUAAACAUCAGUUUCGUCUGUGAGAUGAGCUACCUUGCAGGACUUCAUUCGGUCCUUCUACAAAUAUUUGUUCUACCGGAGCAGAGCAGGAUAACAAGGCAUCUGUCCUGUAAAGCAGUCCACUGGGCACCCAAUGUGAAACAGAGCCUCAGCCCCACAUAGGCUGCAAUGCCACAGUGUGGUCCAGGGUCAGGGAAUUCUGGGGAGCUCUGAGGGUGCCUACAUUCCUGCUGUGCUCCUGGCACACAUUGAGGAGAACGCCCUCUGCUCUGAACUUACUGAGUGAUGAGUCACCCUUGAGCACCUGAGGAAGUGGAGCAAGUAGACCAUAGGCAGCCUGGAAUUGCCCCUGGUUUCUAGGAUUGAGUCACAGCCUCCCUGGAAGACUUGAAAGAGAGAUCAAUUCGAUCAAGGCUCCUGGGCUGGAUCAAAGCCUAGGAAGUGGGGGAAAGGGAGGAGGAAGUUGGGCUUCUCCACGGUCCCAGCAAAGGCCUCAGCCUACAAAUAUUCUACAGAUAUUUGAAGAAGGACUGAAUGAAGUCCCGCAAGGUAGCUUAUCUCAUGGAUGUAACUGACAUUUAGAGAACAUUAAGUAACUGGUCCAGAGCAACCAGACUUGCAGUGGUGGAGCUGGGAUUCGAACCCAGAUUUGGGGGAGUCCAAAGGCCAGCCCUCCUCCCUUCUGUAUGGGGACUAAGAACAAGGAAUCCAAGAUUAUUUGAGAUCCCAAGUUCCAGACUGUGGCAUGUACAUAGUUCUCAUGUUUAAAAUUGUCAUGGGGAAGCCGGGCGCUGUGGCUCAUGGCUGUAAUCCCAGCACUUUGGGAGGCAGAGAUGAGCGGAUCACUUGAAGUCAGGAGUUCAAGACCAGCCUGGCCAACAUGGCGAGACCCCAUCUCUACUAAAAUAUAUAAAAAUUAGCCAGGCAUGGUGGUGGGCUCCUGUAAUCUCAGCUACUCGAGAGGCUGAGAUGAGAAUCACUUGAACCUGGGAGGCGGAGGUGGCAGUGAGCUGAGAUUGCACCAUUGCACUCCAGCCUGGGUGACAGAGUGAGACUCCGUCUCAAAAAAAAAAAAAAAUUGUCCUGUGGGAAGUUUCAUUUUUUAAAAAAAAUGUUUUCAUAGAAACAAGGUCCUACUAUGAUGCUCAGGCAGGUCUCAAACUUGUGGCCUACAAAGGCCUCAGCUUACUCCCUCAGCAAGCUCUGCCAUUGAGGCGAUCCUACAGAAUUGUCCCAAACUGGGGUGAGAGGGCUGGAACUUGAUACCCCAGCAUGGACCAGGCAUCGGAAGCGGCCUCCCCUCGAGCCAGGGGUAUGACCUCGGACCUGGGAGAAGGGCAUUGGUGAUGCACCUCUGUUGGAAGCUUCCUUUAUCUCUAUGCCCCUCCCUCUUCUCAGACUUUCCACCCCCCAAGAUACAUUUGAGAAGAACAAUCGAAUUAGCCAGGAAAGCUUUAGGAAGAAAUGACAUUUAAACAGACCUGGAGACCAGGCACGGUGGCUCAUGCCUGUAAUCCCAGCACUUUGGGAGGCUGAGGCAAGUGGAUCGCUUGAGCCCAGGAGUUUGAGACCAGCCUGGCCAACAUGGUGAAACCGCAUCUCUACUAAAAAUACGAAAAAUUAGCUAGGUGCAGUGGCACACACCUGUAGUCCCAGCUACUCGGGAGGCUGAGGCAGGAGAAUGGCGUGAACCUGGGAGGCGGGGCUUGCGGUGAGCCGAGAUCGCACCACUGCACUCCAGCCUGGGCAACAGAGCGAGGCUCCGUCUCAACAACAACAACAACGACAACAAAAAGGCAUGAUCACAUCUGUCUCUCAGCUGUCUUCAGGAUGCCAUGAAACGACACACACACAAUAAGGGCACCAUCAAUGCACGGGGUCUUACUGUCGAACUCCUGGUCUCAAGCUAUCCUCCUGCCUUGGCCCCCUCAAAGUGCUGGGAUUACAGGCGUGAGCGCCUGGCCCCUUUUUCAUCGGAAGAAGCUAGAGUUUUAAAGGACACCUUGG